GACGUAGGAUGCGAGCGUUGUCCGGAUUUAUUGGGCGUAAAGAGUUCGUAGGUGGUUUGUUAAGUUUGAUGUCAAAGAUCGGGGCUCAACCUCGGGACAGCAUUGAAUACUGGCAGACUUGAGUAUGGUAGAGGCUAGUGGAAUUCCCAGUGUAGCGGUGAAAUGCGUAGAUAUUGGGAAGAACACCGGUGGCGUAGGCGACUAGCUGGGCCAUAACUGACGCUGAGGAACGAAAGCCAGGGGAGCGAAAGGG
rnacentral:rRNA from 1 species